GUCAGUGUGGCGCAAUUGGUAGCGCGACCGACUUGAUCGAUCGGAGGGCUCUUGGUUCAAAUCCAGGCACUGACA